GUUCGAGCGUCAUUAAAACCAAUCACGCCUUGUGCGUGGUCUUGGGGUUCGCGGUUCUCGCGGCCCUUAAAACCAGUGGCGGUGCCGUUGGGCUCUCAGCGUAGUAAUUCUUCUCGCUUCAGGGCCCGGGCAGUGCUUGCCAUAAACCCAAUCUUUCUUAGGUUGACCUCGGAUCAGGUAGGGAUACCCGCUGAACUUAA
rnacentral:misc_RNA from 1 species